UGGCAAUUUUAGUCAGUUGAGUGAUAUUUAUCCUGGCAAAGCCUUCAAGUUUUUGGAGCUUUGGUCUGAUGUCUGGGGUGGCUUGAGCUAUGAAUGAGGUGUUGACCAUUUGUUGACUCCCUGGUGACUCAGGAUUGAAGAGGGUAUAGAUGCAAUAAGCUUCACACAGUCUUUCAUAAUAGUCCCCAGGAGACUCUCCUGGUUGUUGAGUGACUGAAGAUACUUUGGUCAUGUUCAUAGGCUUUUUGGACCUGGCUUUGAUCCUCUGGAGGAGGGCAUACUGGACCUGGCUUUGAUCCCCUGGAGGAGGGCAUAUUGGUGGAUCUGGUGCUGUCCCUCAGGGGUGAUGAAGUCCCACUCGGGAUGCUCCUCAGGAACAGCAUUUUCAGCCCGUGCACCCCAAUCAAGGAGCCCAGCUGCCUCUUCUCUUCGAUUGUGAACAGGGUGUAGAGAAGCUGUUGGCUGUCUUUCCAGGCUCCUGUGCCUCUUGCACCGGCAUCGGAAGGGUGCCUGCUCCCGGCUGAGGGCACAGUCUGGCUGCUGGUCCAGGGGAAUUUACCCCAUGGAUGCAGCACUCCAGUUUGAAAAAGACAGAUGCACCCCUAUGUUUAUCACAGCACUAUUUACAAUAGCCAAGAAAUGGAAGCAACCUAAGUGUCCAUCAGUAGAUGAAUGGAUAAAGAAGAAGUGGUACAUAUACACAAUGGAAUAUUAUUCAGCCAUAAGAAGAAAACAAAUCCUACAAUUUGCAACAACAUGGAUGGAGCUAGAGGGUAUUAUGCUCAGUGAAAUAAGCCAGGUGGAGAAAGACAAGUGCCAAAUGAUUUCACUCAUCUGUGGAGUAUAAGAACAAAAGAAAAACUGAAGGAACAAAACAGCAGCAGAAUCACAGAACCCAAGAAUGGACUAACAGUUACCAAAGGGAAAGAGACUGGGGGGGGGGAGGAUAGGGAA